ACCUUUAUUUUUUUUCUCCUUCCUCUUUCUUUAAGCCAACAGCCACCGUCGCCGCCCUAUAUUUCUGCCACAAAUGUACUCACACCGUUACCAUUACCCCUUCUACGACCAGCAAACUUAUUUUUCCUGAUUGUAACAGUGACUGUGUCGAAGAAUUUGAAGACCCCGACCCGAUCUCCAAUCUGACCCGCUUGCCCGAACUAGUUCUCUCCAUGUUGAGUAAUAUUUUCAUUGCAUAACUCAUGUCUGGUUUGUUAGUUUGAGUUGCCAACCGAUGAUCCUGAGUACGAAAAAUAGGGAGAAAGAGAAUGAUGGAAACGUGAGUGGUGGUGGUUCGGGUUCUGGAAAGAGGUUUGCUACUGUGUCACUACCGUGGCCAUUUGGGAUGUUUGGAUCAGCUUCAUCCUCUAGCCAGGGAGGAGGAUCGAGGUCUCAUGGACAAUGGAAUAGGGAGUCGAAUUAGGGGUCUAUCGAAAACAACCUUGCUACUUCUCCGGAUGAGUAAAAUCAAACUUCUAUGGAUCCGUUCAAGUACAACUGGAACACGUCGAAUGAAAGUGCAAUAAGUUUUCAACUGGAGCCUGAACAGAAUGAGUUUGAAAGAGAGGAACAAGAAAUAUUAGCUGCUUAAAGUGCAUCCAUUGUGGAAGAAGGAUGAGAAAGGAAUUGGACUUGUUGAUAAAGCAUGUAUACAAGAAAUCGUGUUCAAAUGAUGAACGCCUAUCUCAAGAAGACAACCAAACUUGUGAGGAUGAAAGUGAUGAUGACUUUGACGAUGUGAAUGAAAGUGAUUCUAAUCUUGAUAACGUGGAUCAAAGUAGUUCUGAUUCUGAUGGUUGAUAGUUUUGUUGAGGAUUCAAGUUUGAAAUAUUUUAUUUUGGACUAUUUAAGAAUCAUACAUUAUUGAUGUAGAUGUUUUGAAUUAUGUUUUUUUGUUAGCUGCAAUGAUUUAUAUUAAACUUGUAUUGAAUGAUGUUUUUGAGAAUUAUUGAAGGUUUUGAAUAGAUUUUUGAUUAA